rnacentral:rRNA from 1 species
GACGAACGCUGGCGGCGUGCCUAAUACAUGCAAGUAGGAAGCAGUUGCGAACGGGUGAGUAACGCGUACGUAACUGACUAUUAGAGGGGGAUAACUAUUGGAAACGAUAGCUAAUACCGCAUACUAGUAGAUGGACCUGCGUUGUAUUCUCUAGUAGGUCGGGUAAUGGCGUACCUAGGCAACGAUACGUAGCCGAACGGAGAGUUAGAUCAGCCGAACGUGGACUGUGACAGGGCCAAGACGCCUACGGGACGCAGCAAGAGGGAAUCUUGGGCAAUGGGGGGAAACCGUACCGCGCAACGCCGCGGUGGUGAAGAGGGUUGUCGGGUCGGAAAUGUCUGUUUUGCAGGUAUCGGUACUUAACGAGAAAGCGACGGCUAACUACGUGCCAGCAGCCGCGGUAAUAC